UCCUCUGUGGCGCGAUUGGCUAGCGCGUCUGACUGUUAACUAUUCUGACACGGAACAGAAUCAUCAGGAGGUUGGAAGAUUGAGCCUUCCCGGAGGAG